CGCACGGCGCACGGGUGCGUAACACGUGGGUAACCUGCCCUCCAAAGGGGGAUAACCCGCCGAAAGGCGGGCUAAUACCGCAUGACAUUCCGGUGGCUUCGGCCGCCGGAAUCAAAGCCCGCAAGGGCGUUGGAGGAGGGGCCCGCGGCCGAUUAGCUUGUUGGCGAGGUAAUGGCUCACCAAGGCUUUGAUCGGUAGCCGGUCUGAGAGGAUGGCCGGCCACACUGGAACUGAGACACGGUCCAGACUCCUACGGGAGGCAGCAGUGGGGAAUCUUGCGCAAUGGGCGAAAGCCUGACGCAGCGACGCCGCGUGGGGGAUGAAGCUUCUCGGAGUGUAAACCCCUUUCGACCCGGACGAAACGCCCGCAAGGGUUUGACGGUACGGGUAUAAGAAGCCCCGGCUAACUACGUGCCAGCAGCCGCGGUAAGACGUAGGGGGCCAGCGUUGCUCGGAAUUACUGGGCGUAAAGGGUUCGUAGGCGGUGUGGUAAGUCGGAAGUGAAAUCUCUGGGCUUAACUCAGAGGCUGCUUUCGA
rnacentral:rRNA from 1 species